rnacentral:rRNA from 1 species
AUUGAACGCUGGCGGCAGGCCUAACACAUGCAAGUCGAACGAGUGGCGGACGGGUGAGUAAUGUCUGGGCAACUGCCUGAUGGAGGGGGAUAACUACUGGAAACGGUAGCUAAUACCGCAUACCAUCGGAUGUGCCCAGAUGGGAUUAGCUAGUAGGUGGGGUAACGGCUCACAUAGGCGACGAUCCCUAGCUGGUGUGAGAGGAUGACCAGCCACACGGGAACUGAGACACGGUCCAGAGUCCUACGGGAGGCAGCAGUGGGGAAUAGUGCACAAUGGGGGAAAGCCGGAUGCAGCCAUGCCGCGUGUAUGAAGAAGGCCUUCGGGUUGUAAAGUACUUUCAGCGGAGAAGCGUUACCCGCAGAAGAAGCACCGGCUAACUCCGUGCCAGCAGCCGCGGUAAUUC